UUUUGGAAACCCUUAUGAAGGCUACAAGGAACCUGUUAACACAGAGUUCAUCAUCAUGGCCAUUUUCACGGGUGUGCUGUUGAUCUUCAGUGUGCUCGGCUCGGUGUAUGUCUUCAGAGGACAUUGGACUGAGAAACAUGGAGCUGGCGAGAAAAAACUAAAGCAAAGCCAAGAAGAGAAGAAGGUGACAAAGAAGGAGGACGAUAGCUUGGAUGCAACAGCAGCUCAGUCCUACUAUGCCAGUCUAGAGCCUCGUCCCAGGUCUAUUUAUGAUGUACUGGACAGCUCACCUGCCAGAAGAGAGAAUGACCAAGACAAAGCCAAACCCAUGAAAAAGGAACCACCCAAAAAGGCAGCGCAAAAGACAAAAGACAAGGAUGAAGGUGUUUUUGAGUCUGUUUAUGAGAACUUUUAGAUCAACUCGUGAUUGUGGGAUCAUAAUCCAGCGCUUUUCUACUUUAAUCUCAUCUGUGUCAGCGACACUGAGAGAAUCAUCUUUCAAUAAAAUCAACAAAAACCACAAAUGCAAAGUAAAAGUAGUUUGGUACAACACAAAGAUUUCUAAAAGUGUGUAAAAAAUGUAAAUGAACAGAAGCAUUCCCAUCAGAAUGAGCACAGUGUAUCAAAAGUACUAAAGGUUUUCACUAAAUACUACGACUGUACUAUGUAAAAGUCUUUAGCUACACCUCAUUUCUUUAGAUUUUGUGCACCAAUUUAUUCAAACAGCCAAGGCAAAAAGAGAGUUUGAACAGUUCUAAUGAGCUUAAAAGUCAGUAUUCAGUAUGAGCACCUAUAUUUUCCACCAAAGCCUGAAAUUUCUUGCUCAACUUUCUUGUCAUUUCUUUAAGUAGUCUUUAGGAAUAGUUCUCCAGGCAUCUUGAUGGAUGUUCAAUGCUCUUCUUUGGAUGUUGACUGGGUUUGCUCUAUUAUCUGUUGAAAUGAUUCCACACCGCUUCAAUAAUGUUGGUGUGGGAAUAAAGUCUGGUCUCUGGGGAGAUCAAUUCCAUAACUGAC
ensembl:lncRNA